UGGGAGGUACCCUCCGUGCUUGUCCUCUGCGGUUCCUGUCACCGCAACUUCCACCAGAGGUGGCGGCGCUCUAGGGGGAGAUGGCUGCGCCAGAGCAGGUCCCGCUGUCGCGGGGCUGCCAGGGCUCCUCAACGCAGCCGCUGCCGCGGGCCAACAGGACCCUCCUGGUGCGGCACUUGCCGGCCGAGCUGACGGCCGAGGAGAAGGAGCAUCUCCUGAAGCACUUUGGUGCCCAGGCCGUGCGGGUUCUGUCCGACAAGGGCCGCUUGGCCGGAAACGGCGAUGGUGAAGUGGAAAGAGCACCGGUUUGGGGGUCACAGGACCUAAGCUGGUUGGGUUCCAUAACAUUCCAGAAACACACUGCUUUUGCUACUUUCCCUAAUGAAAAAGCAGCAAUAAAGGCUUUAUCAAGACUUCAUCAGCUGAAAGUUUUAGGUCACACUUUAGUUGUUGAAUUUGCAAAAGAACAAGACCAAGCUUCCUCCCUCUGCCAGACUUCAUAUUCAGAGAAAAAGAAAAGGUCUGAUGAACCUGUAGAAGAAGAUAAAGAAAAAAAAGAGCCAAGUUGUUUGACCAUAGAAAAUGGAAUUGCACCAAAUCAUGGGCUAACUUUUCCUUUAAAUUCGUGCCUCAAAUACCUGUAUCCACCACCUUCGAGCACAAUACUAGCCAACAUAGCAAGUGCCUUGGCAAGUGUGCCUAAGUUCUACGUACAGGUGCUUCAUCUUAUGAAUAAAAUGAACUUACCCACACCUUUUGGACCAAUUACUGCCCGACCUCCCAUGUAUGAAGAGUAUAUGCCAGUGCAUGUGCCUCUUCCCCCUAUACCUCCUUUGCCUCCUGAAGAGCCUCCUGUGCCAGAAGAAGGUGAAGGAUCUAGUGGAGAAGAAUCAGAAUAUGAGAGUGGUGAUGAUGAAGCCCGCGAGAGGAUGACAAAACUGAUGGAAUUAGCUAAUUUUCAACCCAAAAGACCAACAACUGCAAAGCAACGCCAUGUAAGGAAAAGGCAGAAGAUAAAGGACAUGUUGAAUAUGCCUGCAUCUACUUCACAUAGUAAUUUACACCCUGCGCUAUUACCUUCAGAUGUGUUUGAGCAGCCACAACCUGUAGAGCAUAAAAAAAUAGAAUUCAACAUAUCUUCAGGGAUACCUGCUGCGUUUGUAAAAGAUUUAGAGGGAGAACAAAAUAGUGAUUUGUCUACUUCUGGAGAUACAACCAAUGAAGGAUUUGGAAAGAUCUUUCCAACUCCCAUUCUGAAUGACAAAGAGGAGAUUCAAGAAGACUCAGAUGAGAUACCAGCAGAAUUUGUCUCUAGAAAAGAGUUGGAAAAAGGCAGAAUUUCUAAAGAAGAAAUGGAAACACUUUCAGUUUUCAAAAGUUAUGAACCAGGGGAUCCAAACUGUAGGAUUUAUGUAAAGAACUUAGCAAAGCAAGUUGAAGAAAAUGAUCUUAAGUUUAUUUUUGGAAGAUAUGUUGACUUUUCAUCACAAACAGAACGAAUCAUGUUUGACAUACGCUUAAUGAAAGAAGGUCGCAUGAAAGGCCAAGCUUUUAUUGGAUUUCCAGAUGAAAAGGCUGCAGCUAAAGCUUUAAAAGAAGCUAAUGGAUAUGUACUUUUUGGAAAACCCAUGGUGGUGCAAUUUGCUCGAUCUGCUAGACCAAAACAAGAUGCUAAAGAUGGAAAAAGGAAAAGAUAGAUAAUUGCUAAAGAAGCAUUCCUGCGUAAAUACUGCAGUAAUACUGUCAUGCAAAGUGUAUCCUUUCUUGUUGUAUCCUUUUUGGGGCAGUGCUUUUCUGUAGAAAUAUUUUUUUUUCCCUAAUGUAGAUUAACUUUUGAUUCUAGAAAUAAUAUAUUUUCAAAAUUGUUGGAUGUUAGGUUGAAGAAAAUUUGAUGUUCCUUCUAGAUUUGUUUAAAUUUGUCUAUAAUGUACUUUAAGAAAAUUCAUUCCAGGGAAAGUUAGUGAAUCAGGUCAUUAAAUUUACUAAAGAGAUGCUGACAGUUGUUUUAACCCAGAAUUUGAUCUUAGCUCUUUAUAUUUAUCUUCUUUCUGAAAUUUAAUUUUUGUAAUUUAUGGACUUGGUGGUUUUAAAAUACCUGUUUUGGGUCUUUUUCUAUUUUUGUGCAGUAUAAUAUAGGAAAUAUAUCAGUACUACUUGGAUGGGAAUAAUCUUUCAAAGAUAUUAUAGAAAAUCCAAACAAGUUGAUUUCUAGAGAUUGUCUUCAUAAUGACUUUCUAAGUGACAUAAAUACCAGAUAACAGUCUUGCUGUUCAGCACCUCAAACCCAGGGUAUUAAAAUUUUUAAAUCCCUACUGAAGUAGGCAGCAAGUGGAAUUUCCCCUUAUUAGGGCAAGAGACAAUUGGAAAUACCAAAUUAUUCUAUAGUGGAUACAUACUUGAAAGAAAUAAUAUAGUUAAUCUGCUUAUGUCAGUUAAUGGUGGCAACCACAGUAUGACUGCCAAAACAUAGUGUAUAACUAUCAGUUUCCAAAAUACUUUGACUCACCACCUAAACCUCUUAAAAAUUGGUCAAAUAGAAAGUGUAUGUAAUCCUUCCUUGCACCCAGAGUCUGUCACAAAAUAUACACUUAAUAAAACACAUUGAUUUGAAUGGCCCAGUGUAUUAUUGUACACAGUGCUUAAUACAUGUUUAUUGAGUAAAAACCCACUUUUUUCUAUCCUCAACCUCUUGAAAACAUUGUUAAUGCUCAUAUCAAACUAAACUUUUUCAUCUGAUAACUUCAUAACUUCCAGAAACAGUCUAGAUUAUAGUUAGUUGUCAUUGACACUUGUAUAAAAAGUUUAAAAAAAAAGACCAAUAGAGUAAAUUGAAUUCAUGAUAUUUAUUUACAUUGCUUUUUGGGACCCUUAAAAUAUAUUUAAUUUUGGUGCUUUGAUUCAACUUUAGGUCACAUAAACUAUGAUUAACCUAUAAAAAUCAAAUUAUACUGUAAAAUUGACAUGAUUCACUAAUUUUCUAAAUCCUAAAGUUUUAGCUUUCUAAUACAUUUAUAAUAUAUAAAAUAUAUUUCUACUAAAAUAAUUUUCAUUUUUGAUGGGCUUUUAUGGUGUUUUAGGUUCCUUUUGAAUUACAUAUAUUUCAAGCAUUCUCCACCUUUGAGAAGAAGAAACUUGAACAUCUGGACUCUUGAAUUAAUGCUGUGGUUGAAAUUCUGCUGGAUUUGAAGUCAGAGUACCUGGAUAUGAAUCCUGGCUCUACCACUUUCUGACUCUGUGAUCUUGGGCAAAUCACUCAACCUCUGGCAUCUCAGUUUCCUCAUCUGAAACGAUCAGAUCCUCCAGCUGGACCAUCUUUAUCUUCCUUACCUAAGAACACAUUAGAAGAUGGCAGCAGGAAAACAGGAACUCGCUUAAGCUCUCCCCCAAAU